UGAAGCCCUGGCAGCCAAAGCAG
rnacentral:piRNA from 1 species